rnacentral:rRNA from 1 species
UACGAAGGGGGCUAGCGUUGUUCGGAAUCACUGGGCGUAAAGCGCACGUAGGCGGAUGUGCCAGUCAGGGGUGAAAUCCCGGAGCUCAACUCCGGAACUGCCUCUGAUACAGCACGUCUUGAGUUCGAGAGAGGUGGGUGGAAUUCCUAGUGUAGAGGUGAAAUUCGUAGAUAUUAGGAAGAACACCGGUGGCGAAGGCGGCCCACUGGCUCGAUACUGACGCUGAGG